rnacentral:lncRNA from 1 species
AACAGUAACAGCAAAUAUUUAUUGAGCACUUAUCAUAGGAGCCAGGCCCUGUUGCCAGCCGUUUAAAAAACAUUUAUAUUAUUUUAUUUUCACAGCAAUAGGAUGAGGUAGGUAUUAGUGCAAACAUAUUCUCUUCGCAAAGACGAGGAAACCGAAGUACCUGGCGGUUGAUUACUUAAGACCCCAGACGUCCAUCGCCCUAUUCUACUCCACGGGAUCAGUGCCCUAGAGCUACUCCAGACCUUAUCUUCUCAAAUAUCCUGAUGUGUUCUGGAUCAACACCACUGAUGAUAGAAGCAUCACACAGUGUCAUGUUUUAUUCAGCAGGUAUUCAAACAACUGCUUCAUGCUUGGAACCAUGGGAAACAUUGGAAAAACAAGA